AUUAUGAAUUUAACAUAAGAUUUUCUACAAAAAAUUAAAAGCUGAUAUACCUACUACACCCGAAAGGAUAUUGCAGUAAUAUCAUAUACCUAUAGUGAAAGCGUCAACUACUGUAAUGUUCUUUGCUGGCCAAGUGGAUGAUAUGUGUAUGCUACAACCAACGAAUGCUGUGAGAGAAUGAUCAGCCACGAAGUGAUACUAUCGUAACAUAAAGGGCAUUAUGUUUAUUGCAAAAUCUGAGACACUACCCUUUCAGUUCUACUUGGUUAUUGACGUGAAUAGUUCAGUGAGGAUCCAUCUCGAGAGUAGCUGUUUAUCAGUUCACAGGCCCAGCAGGGGCGAUUUGUCCACUCGUCUAUGCAAGUAUCCACGCUGUUAUUUUUUGUUGUUGUCUCUGCAAUAAAGAAUGUUUUCACUUAUCUUCAAA